GAUGAACGCUGGCGGCGUGCUUAACACAUGCAAGUCGAACGAAGCACUUAAAUGGAUUUCUUCGGAUUGAAGUUUUUGUGACUGAGUGGCGGACGGGUGAGUAACGCGUGGGUAACCUGCCUCAUACAGGGGGAUAACAGUUAGAAAUGACUGCUAAUACCGCAUAAGCGCACAGUGCUGCAUGGCACAGUGUGAAAAACUCCGGUGGUAUGAGAUGGACCCGCGUCUGAUUAGCUAGUUGGCGGGGUAACGGCCCACCAAGGCGACGAUCAGUAGCCGGACUGAGAGGUUGGCCGGCCACAUUGGGACUGAGACACGGCCCAG
rnacentral:rRNA from 1 species